UUACGGCCAUACCACAUUGAAACUCCGGUUUUCGUACGAUAACCGAAGUUAAACAACGUCGAUCCUGGCCAGUAUCUAGAUGGGUGACAGCUUGGGAAUACCAGGUGCUGAA